rnacentral:rRNA from 1 species
CGAGGGGUGCAAGCGUUGCUCGGAAUUAUUGGGCGUAAAGGGUAGGUAGGUGGUCUCGUUUGUCAGGGGUGAAAUCCUUGGGCUUAACCCAAGAAGUGCCCCUGAAACGGCGAGACUCGAGUUCUGGAGAGGGUCGUGGAAUUCCCGGUGUAGCGGUGAAAUGCGUAGAGAUCGGGGAGGAACACCAGAGGCGAAGGCGGCGACCUGGACAGAUACUGACACUCAACUACGAAAGCGUGGGGAGCAAACAGGAUUAGAUACCCUGGUAGUCCACGCUGUAAACGAUGGACACUAGACUUGGCGGGACUUGACCCCUGCCGAGUCGGAGCUAACGCAAUAAGUGUCCCGCCUGGGAAGUACGGUCGCAAGACUA